rnacentral:lncRNA from 1 species
AUGAAAGCAAUGCUAUUUCCAUUUCUAUGACAACCUGGCUUUCUGCAGCUUGCAGGGUCCAUGCCUGCUUCCCAGCCAGUGAAGAUGAAGAUCACGCUAGCAGAACCUCCUAAGAUGGAAAUGGAAGAAGGGAAGGUCAACUUGAAGGCCUGCUUGAGAGUUUCCAUCCUGACAAACUCAGACAAUAAGAUCUGCGAGAUGGAGGUGGUCCAGAAAUGGCCGACUGAAAUUAAUCUGAAAAAUGGAACAAUGCAAUUUGUCGUACAGCCAGAGAUGGGCAGCACAGAACAACUGCGCACGAUUGACCCAGAGGCUGAUAUAAAUGGAGAUGAGGCAAAGGAGCUGAUGCGGGCCAUGGCAGCCAGACACCUCAUGCCCAGGGUCAAUGGUAAGUGGGCACCGUUAGGU